AAUCACCCUAUUCUAGUCUCUGUAAUGUUGAAUCGAGAGUGCUAAGGCAGUGGAGAUUCCAAGUCUUCCAUUGUUCUAGUGUUUUCUUUUUAGCGUUAUUUGGGAUUAGAUUCUCUCUCAUAAAAAUUGAGUUCACAGACUUUCUUAUUUUAGCGUUUCCUGUUUAGUGUUAUUUGAGACAAUAUUCUUUCUAAAAAUUUAAAAUGAUGCUAUUCUAGUCUCUGUAAUGUUGGAUCGAGGGUGCUACGACAAUAGAGGUUCACAGCCUUUCUUGUUUUAGGUCUUCUUUCUGGCGUUAUUUGGGGUUAGGAUAUUUCUAAAAAUUCUAACUAAUAUAAUUUAAAACAAUAAUCACCCUAUUCUAGUCUCAGUGAUGUUGGAUCGAGGUUGCUACGGCAAUGGAGGUUUACAACCUUCCUUGUUUUAGGUCUUCUUUCUGGCGUUAAUGGGAUUAUAAUAGAUUCUCUCUCUUAAAAACUAAAAUAAAAAACAUAAUUUUUGUUUAAAAUAAUCUUUUUUACAUGGUCUCUUGUGAAUGGAUGAUACAAUUACGAUCGAAGAGUAACAGCCUUCUUGUUUUAGUAUUCCCAUUCACGUAUAAAUUAAGUAAAUUCAUUCUGAUUUAAACUGUUUUAUUCUCUAUAUUUUUAUAUAAUUUCAAAUCAAACUUAUAAUAAUUUUUAUUUAGUUUACUGGUCUUUGAGAUGAAUGAAUUGAUAAUGCUAAAGUAGUGCCGGUUCCAGUCUGGCGUUAUUUUAGGGUUUUCUUUUCACUGUUGUAAGAGAUUGGAAUAAGGGACCAUUUCUUUUUUAAAUUUUGCUCUGCCCCAUCAAAUUUUUCUCUGCUCUAUCGCUGUAUCUAAACUAUAUUUUUGAGCACAACUCUCUAUCUUAUCUAAACUAAUUUUCCUAAUAAUCUCAUGUCAAAGCGAUAGAGCUCUUUCAAAAUAUAAAAUUUACCCUGGAUGGAUAGCCAACACUGAGGGGGAGGGACAUACUUCUUGACGUCUAAUCGGAAUGAUGGGAUGGGCCGUAGUCCAGCAUAUUCAGCCUAGUGUCAGUGAUAGUGAGAACUAUGAUCGUGUACGCAGCGCGUGUUAUUUGUGAAUUUAGUCGGUCUGUGUUAGAUGUCCUGCUACUAAAAAGUAUUUCCAGGUUCUGUCGAUCCUGAUGACGCGUUAAAUGGGAUUCCCCAGGGACCGUCCGUAGUUCCUGAGGGACCAGGGGCGUCCUUCCGCUCCCGCGGUGUGACGACACUGCUUUUUACGCCGUGUGGCAGGAAUCGCCAGUGAAAGAAUGUGGAAUGGAGUAUGCAGAUGAAGAGGAAAUGUAGAAGGACCAUUUCUAAAGCAUAAUUAUAACGGUCGCGUCGGUUCGUGGUUCUGGAGCUGUUCUAAGGCUUUUCACAGCAUUUUAAGGCCACACUUUUUAUUUGCGUUCAUACUUUCUUUGAUUCGAAUCAUAUAUAA